GAUGAACGCUGGCGGCGUGCCUAAUACAUGCAAGUCGAGCGAACGGACGAGAAGCUUGCUUCUCUGAUGUUAGCGGCGGACGGGUGAGUAACACGUGGAUAACCUACCUAUAAGACUGGGAUAACUUCGGGAAACCGGAGCUAAUACCGGAUAAUAUUUUGAACCGCAUGGUUCAAAAGUGAAAGACGGUCUUGCUGUCACUUAUAGAUGGAUCCGCGCUGCAUUAGCUAGUUGGUAAGGUAACGGCUUACCAAGGCAACGAUGCAUAGCCGACCUGAGAGGGUGAUCGGCCACACUGGAACUGAGACACGGUCCAGACUCCUACGGGAGGCAGCAGUAGGGAAUCUUCCGCAAUGGGCGAAAGCCUGACGGAGCAACGCCGCGUGAGUGAUGAAGGUCUUCGGAUCGUAAAACUCUGUUAUUAGGGAAGAAAAUAUGUGUGAGUAACUGUGCACAUCUUGACGGUACCUAAUCAGAAAGCCACGGCUAACUACGUG
rnacentral:rRNA from 1 species